rnacentral:rRNA from 1 species
AUUGAACGCUGGCGGCAGGCUUAACACAUGCAAGUCGAGCGAGCGGCGGACGGGUGAGUAAUGUCUGGGAAACUGCCUGAUGGAGGGGGAUAACUACUGGAAACGGUAGCUAAUACCGCAUACCAUCAGAUGUGCCCAUAUGGGAUUAGCUAGUAGGUGGGGUAAUGGCUCACCUAGGCGACGCUCCCUAGCUGGUCUGAGAGGAUGACCAGCAACACUGGAACUGAGAAACGGUCCAGACUCCUACGGGAGGCAGCAGUGGGGAAUAUUGCACAAUGGGAGCAAGCCGGAUGCAGCCAUGCCGCGUGUGUGAAGAAGGCCUUCGGGUUGUAAAGCACUGUCAGCGGGGAGGCGUUACUCGCAGAAGAAGCACCGGCUAACUCCGUGCCAGCAGCCGCGGUAAUAC